rnacentral:rRNA from 1 species
AUUGAACGCUGGCGGAAUGCUUUACACAUGCAAGUCGAACGGUAGAGGGGGCAACCCCUUGAGAGUGGCGAACGGGUGAGUAAUAUAUCGGAACGUGCCCAGUCGUGGGGGAUAACGUAGCGAAAGUUACGCUAAUACCGCAUACGAUCUAAGGAUGAAAAGCGGGGGAUCGCAAGACCUCGCGCGACUGGAGCGGCCGAUAUCAGAUUAGGUAGUUGGUAGGGUAAAAGGCCCUACCAAGCCAACGAUCUGUAGCUGGUCUGAGAGGACGACCAGCCACACUGGAACUGAGACACGGUCCAGACUCCUACGGGAGGCAGCAGUGGGGAAUUUGGACAAUGGGCGAAAGCCUGAUCCAGCCAUUCCGCGUGCAGGAUGAAGGCCCUCGGGUGUAAACUGCUUUUGUACAGAACGAAAAGGUUUC